UACGAAGGGGGCUAGCGUUGUUCGGAAUUACUGGGCGUAAAGCGCGCGCAGGCGGUCUUCCAAGUCGAGUGUGAAAGCCCCCGGCUCAACUGGGGAGGGUCACUCGAUACUGACUCGACUUGAAGGCAGAAGAGGGAAGCGGAAUUCCCGGUGUAGUGGUGGAAUGCGUAGAGAUCCGGAGGAACACCAGCGGCGAAGGCGGCAUCCUGGACUGGUCCUGACACUCAGGAGCGAAAGCGUGGGGAGCGAUCCGG
rnacentral:rRNA from 1 species